rnacentral:rRNA from 1 species
GAAGAGAUUUGGGAGUGCUCGCAAGAGAACCGGAACGACAGGUGCUGGCAUGGCUGUCGUCAGCUCGUGUCGUGAGAUGUUGGGUUAAGUCCCGCAACGAGCGCAACCCUUGUCAUUAGUUGCCAUCAUUGUUGGGCACUCUAAUGAGACUGCCGGUGACAAACCGGAGGAAGGUGGGGAUGACGUCAAGUCCUCAUGGCCCUUAUGGGUAGGGCUUCACACGUCAUACAAUGGUCGGUACAGAGGGUUGCCAACCCGCGAGGGGGAGCUAAUCCCACAAAGCCGAUCGUAGUCCGGAUCGCAGUCUGCAACUCGACUGCGUGAAGUCGGAAUCGCUAGUAAUCGUGGAUCAGCAUGUCACGGUGAAUACGUUCCCGGGUCUU